UACGUAGGGUGCAAGCGUUGUUCGGAAUUACUGGGCGUAAAGCGCACGUAGGCGGAUAUUUAAGUCAGGGGUGAAAUCCUGGAGCUCAACUCCAGAACUGCCUUUGAUACUGAGGAUCUUGAGUUCGGGAGAGGUGAGUGGAACUGCGAGUGUAGAGGUGAAAUUCGUAGAUAUUCGCAAGAACACCAGUGCGAAGGCGCUCAC
rnacentral:rRNA from 1 species